AUGUAUCUUCAGUUUUACAUCAACGAUAACGGUGACAAAGUCUACACUACAAAGAAAGAGUCACCGGUUGGGUUAGCCACACAAUCUGCUCAUCCUGCCCGGUUUUCACCUGAUGACAAAUUUUCAAGGCAGAGAAUUCUUUUGAAGAAGCGAUUUGGACUGUUACCAACCCAGCAUCCAGCUCGAAAAUAUUGA